CCUACGGGUGGCAGCAGUGGGGAAUAUUGGGCAAUGAGCGCAAGCCUGACCCAGCAACGCCGCGUGCAGGAAGAAGGCUUUCGGGUUGUAAACUUCUUUUAUGAGGGAAGAGCAGAAGACGGUACCUCUUGAAUAAGCCACGGCUAACUACGUGCCAGCAGCCGCGGUAAUACGUAGGUGGCAAGCGUUGUCCGGGUUUAUUGGGUGUAAAGGGCGUGCAGCCGGGAAGACAAGUCAGAUGUGAAAUCCCGCGGGUCAACCGCGGAACUGCAUUUGAAACUGGUUAUCUUGAGUACCGUAGAGGUCAUCGGAAUUCCUUGUGUAGCGGUGAAAUGCGUAGAUAUAAGGAAGAACACCAGUGGCGAAGGCGGAUGACUGGGCGGCAACUGACGGUGAGGGGCGAAAGCGUGGGGAGCAAACAGGAUUAGAUACCCUGGUAGUC
rnacentral:rRNA from 1 species